GAUGAACGCUGGCGGCUUGCCUAAUACAUGCAAGUCGAGCGAACAGACGAGGAGCUUGCUCCUCUGACGUUAGCGGCGGACGGGUGAGUAACACGUGGAUAACCUACCUAUAAGACUGGGAUAACUUCGGGAAACCGGAGCUAAUGCCGGAUAAUAUAUUGAACCGCAUGGUUCAAUAGUGAAAGACGGUUUUGCUUUCACUUAUAGAUGGAUCCGCGCCGCAUUAGCUAGUUGGUAAGGUAACGGCUUACCAAGGCAACGAUGCGUAGCCGACCUGAGAGGGUGAUCGGCCACACUGGAACUGAGACACGGUCCAGACUCCUACGGGAGGCAGCAGUAGGGAAUCUUCCGCAAUGGGCGAAAGCCUGACGGAGCAACGCCGCGUGAGUGAUGAAGGUCUUCGGAUCGUAAAACUCUGUUAUUAGGGAAGAACAAAUGUGUAAGUAACUAUGCACGUCUUGACGGUACCUAAUCAGAAAGCCACGGCUAACUACGUG
rnacentral:rRNA from 1 species